CCUACGGGAGGCAGCAGUAAGGAAUAUUGGACAAUGCCCGCAAGGGUGAUCCAGCCAUGCCGCGUGCAGGAAGAAGGCCCUAUGGGUCGUAAACUGCUUUUACACCGGAGAAAACCUCCCUUCGUGAAGGGAGCUGAUAGUAUGGUGAGAAUAAGCAUCGGCUAACUUCGUGCCAGCAGCCGCGGUAAGACGAAGGAUGCAAGCGUUAUCCGGAUUCAUUGGGUUUAAAGGGAGCGUAGGUGGACUGAUAAGUCAGUGGUGAAAUCUUCGAGCUUAACUCGGAAAUUGCCAUUGAUACUGUUAGUCUUGAGUACAGUUGCUGUGGGCGGAAUAUGACAUGUAGUGGUGAAAUACAUAGAGAUGUCAUAGAACACCGAUUGCGAAGGCAGCUCACAAAGCUGUAACUGACACUGAGGCUCGAAAGUGCGGGGAUCAAACAGGAUUAGAUACCCUGGUAGUCCGCACUGUAAACGAUGAUUACUCGCUGCUAGAGGGCAACUUUUAGUGGCUUAGGACGAAGACGAGUAAGUAAGUACCUACCGUACGGGAGGUACGGCCGGCCGACCGGUACGGAACGUACGAAAGUAGUUAAGUUAGUUACGGACGUUGGAGGACGAGCCGACGGACGACGACGAGGGAGGAGGAG
rnacentral:rRNA from 1 species